CCACUGUGCUUAGUAGAGAGACCACAUAGGGUAACCAUGAGUGUCCACCAAAGUCUGCUAAAUAGUUAGAUACUGUUAUACUUGCAACAGUGUUGUAAUCCAGAAUGUUAUUUUGUCUUACAGACAAUUUUACACCAUUUAAGUUGCACACAUGGAACUUGCUAUGGUGUCAGUCUCGAAGGACAAGAUUCUCAGGUACAGGCGUUUGGCUGAAGAUCUUGGAAGAGACUAUUGCGCACUUUGCGUGAAACAGCCAGCUCUUGAAAAUGGGUGCGGGAUGUGCACACAUUGUCUAUUCUGAAAUGGUUAAAACAAUUUGCAUGCAGCGGCCAGUCUCAAACGACGACUUCUGACUGAUGCAUAAAGGUGUGGGAGCUGCACAUAUAGGCCAACUGCACAUGAAACAAGGGAAUCCGACAAGUCAUGAAGUUAUGCAGAUAACACCGCAUCUGAGAAAGAACUUGUUACCCAUCACCCCUGACUCAACCCAAUACAGCUUUGAAAAAGCACAGCCUGUGAGGCAGUUUGGGCACUUCCCUUUGGACAACAGCCCUGAGACCAAUAUAAAUCUGACAAUAACUGACUAAUUAACACAAUAGACAACAAUACAGUUUCUUCCGGAGUUUUACUGACUUUGUGAGUACUAAAUCCAACCAACAUCUCCUCUGCAGUAGCAUAGAGCCAGCAAGCUCCCUUCCUUUCCCAGCUAUGGCUCCCCCUAGCCGUGCUUCCAUAUUUCCUUGUUUAUGCACAGCAUAAUGGCCUGACCCUCCCUUCUCUAUAACAUUAUACAGACACCACCUAGCACCUGAAAACCUCAAUUUUUCUGGAUAUAUUUUGAGAUUAGAGUCUCAAUAUACCCCAUAUUCAUCCAAUGGCACCCUAACCAUAGUGGAACAUAGCUU